rnacentral:rRNA from 1 species
ACACGGGUAUGCCCAGUACGGCGAGUGAAGCGGCAAGAGCUCAAAUUUGAAAUCUGGCCUCCCCCGGGGCCCGAGUUGUAAUUUGCAGAGGAUGCUUCGGGUGCGGCCGCCGUCUAAGUUCCUUGGAACAGGACGUCAGAGAGGGUGAGAAUCCCGUCUUGGGCGGGCGGUCCGCGCCCGUGUGAAGCUCCUUCGACGAGUCGAGUUGUUUGGGAAUGCAGCUCUAAGCGGGUGGUAAAUUUCAUCUAAAGCUAAAUAUUGACCGGAGACCGAUAGCGCACAAGUAGAGUGAUCGAAAGGUUAAAAGCACCUUGAAAAGGGAGUUAAACAGCACGUGAAAUUGUUGAAAGGGAAGCGCUUGCGCCCAGACUCGGGGGCGGGGUUCAGCGGGUGCUCGUCGCCCGUGUACUCCUCGUCUCCCGGGCCAGCAUCAGUUUCGACGGCCGGUCAAAGGCCCCCGGAAUGUGUCGUCUCUCGGGACGUCUUAUAGCCGGGGGUGCAAUGCGGCCCGUCGGGACUGAGGAACGCGCUCCGGCUCGGAUGCUGACGUAAUGCCGUAAGCGGCCCGUCUUGAAAAACAGAACAAA